rnacentral:Y_RNA from 1 species
GGCUGGUACGAGUGCAGUGGUGUUUACAACUAAUUGAUCACAACCAGUUAUAGAUUCCUUUGUUUCUUCUCCACUCCCACUGCUUCACUUAACUAGCCUUAA